AUCAACAGUCAGUCAUUUACUGUGGAGAAGAUAAUGCUUGGAUUGGAAGAACCUGUGAAUAUACUGAAUGUUCAAAUUUGCUGUCGAUAACAAAUGGAAAAGUUAAAUUUAUUAAUCGAGUGCCAAAUAGAAUUGCCUCUUACAAAUGCAAUGAGGGAUACAGAGAAGUGGGUCAAUCAUUCUCUAUUUGUCUACAGAAUGGUUCUUGGAGUUAUACAAAUUUUUAUUGUCAUGAAGUACCAAAUAUAGCCUCUAAUUUCAUUGGUAAGUCCUUUUUUGUUAUAUAUUUGUUUAAAUAUAGCAAC